UCAUAAUAUAGGGAAGUUCCCAGCCCAGUACUCAAGGAACAACAACUGUCCAGGAUUUCAGCAUGUAUUCAUUUUCUUCCCACUGGGCAUACUGACAAAGCAUGGUCUGUCCUUUAGGACCCAGCUGUAAUCCACUGCCAUAGAGAACGGAAUGUGGAAUGUGAACACUAUAGUCACCUAAACAACUUGAGCUUAAUGAAGCAGUUUUAGUGUAUAGA